rnacentral:rRNA from 1 species
UACGUAGGGCGCAAGCGUUGUCCGGAAUUUAUUGGGCGUAAAGAGCUCGUAGGCGGCUUGUCACGUCGAUUGUGAAAGCCCGAGGCUUAACCUCGGGUCUGCAGUCGAUACGGGCUAGCUAGAGUGUGGUAGGGGAGAUCGAAUUCCUGGUGUAGCGGUGAAAUGCGCAGAUAUCAGGAGGAACACCGGUGGCGAAGGCGGAUCUCUGGGCCUUACCUGACGCUGAGGCGCGAAAGCGUGGGGAGCAAACGGG